GAUUUAGGGCUUAAAGAUUAUGGUUUGUGUACGGUUUGUGGUUCAAGUGUUGGGGUUUAAGGUUAAGGGUUUCGAUGUGUUAGGGUUGUUAGUUCAUGUUUACGGUAUAGGUUUAGGGGACAAGGGUGAAGGGUGAAGGGUUAAGGGUACUUGGUUUAAUGGUUUGAGUUUAAGGUUUAGAGGUUGGAGAUUAAGGGAUAGGGGUUUAGGGGUUAAGGUAUAAGGGAUGGUUUUAAGGUUUGUGGACUAGGGAUUAUGGGUUUAGAGAUUGGGGUUUAGGGGUUGGGGCUAAGGUUUAAGGUUUAAGUGUUAAAGGGUUUAGGGUUUUAGAGUAAGUGGUUUAAGGUUUUUUGGUUAAAGGUAUUGAGAGUUUAGGGUUUAGAAUAAUUAGUGUUUUUUAAUUUAC
rnacentral:lncRNA from 1 species